CCCUUAGAUGUUCUGGGCUGCACGCGCGCUACAAUGAUGCAUUCAACGAGCAUAGCUGCCUCGAAAGAAAGCGGCGAAUCUUUUGAAACUGCAUCGUGACGGGGAUAGAUGAUUGUAAUUAUUCAUCUUCAACGAGGAAUUCCUAGUAAGUGCAAGUCAUCAACUUGCGCUGAUUACGUCCCUGCCCUUUGUACACACCGCCCGUCGCUCCUACCGAUUGAGUGAUCCGGUGAGCUAUUCGGACUGUAUGCUCGUCACUUUGGCUUGCGUAUGGGAAGUUUCGCGAACCUUAUCACUUAGAGGAAGGAGAAGUCGUAACA
rnacentral:rRNA from 1 species